rnacentral:rRNA from 1 species
UACGUAGGGUGCGAGCGUUUGUCCGGAAUUACUGGGCGUAAAGAGCUCGUAGGUGGUUUGUCGCGUUUGUUCGUGAAAACCGGGGGCUUAACCCUCGGCGUGCGGGCGAUACGGGCAGACUUGAGUACUGCAGGGGAGACUGGAAUUCCUGGUGUAGCGGUGAAAUGCGCAGAUAUCAGGAGGAACACCGAUGGCGAAGGCAGGUCUCUGGGCAUUAACUGACGCUGAGGCGCGAAAGCGUGGGGGAGCAAACAGG